rnacentral:lncRNA from 1 species
GACAUCAUCAUCCCCCAAAAAGAUUUCAAAAAUAACAAAAAUUAGUGUAUAAAUUAAUUGAAAUAAAAUAGAAGUCAAGUAAAAAGUCAACCAAGCAAACUAUGUCAUAAAUAAAUCCAAAAUAAAGUGAAAAUUGGAAAUAAAAUUCCAAUAAAAGGUCAAGUUGACCAUGAGACAAUGGUCAACCCUCAUCCCAAAAAUCAGAAAUUAAAAAUAAUUCUAAGUUAUGAAAAUAAAAUAAAUGAAAAAAUGUGUGUCAAAAUGAACUAUUUGAAAUAAAUAUUUGAAAUAAAAUAUUAACAUUAAAUAAAAUAUGAAAAUAAAAAUUAAA